rnacentral:rRNA from 1 species
UGGUAAUGCCGGAUGCUCCAGUUGGAUGCAUGUCCUUCUGGGAAAGAUUCAUCGGUAUGGGAUGGGGUCGCGUCCUAUCAGCUUGAUGGCGGGGUAACGGCCCACCAUGGCUUCGACGGGUAGCCGGCCUGAGAGGGCGACCGGCCACAUUGGGACUGAGAUACGGCCCAGACUCCUACGGGAGGCAGCAGUGGGGAAUAUUGCACAAUGGGCGCAAGCCUGAUGCAGCGACGCCGCGUGCGGGAUGACGGCCUUCGGGUUGUAAACCGCUUUUGACUGGGAGCAAGCCCUUCGGGGUGAGUGUACCUUUCGAAUAAGCACCGGCUAACUACGUGCCAGCAGCCGCGGUAAUACGUAGGGUGCAAGCGUUAUCCGGAAUUAUUGGGCGUAAAGGGCUCGUAGGCGGUUCGUCGCGUCCGGUGUGAAAGUCCAUCGCUUAACGGUGGAUCCGCGCCGGGUACGGGCGGGCUUGAGUGCGGUAGGGGAGACUGGAAUUCCCGGUGUAACGGUGGAAUGUGUAGAUAUCGGGAAAGAACACCA